GACGAACGCUGGCGGCGUGCUUAACACAUGCAAGUCGAACGAUGAACCCGGAGCUUGCUCCGGUGGAUUAGUGGCGAACGGGUGAGUAACACGUGAGUAACCUGCCCUUGACUCUGGGAUAACUGCGGGAAACUGUAGCUAAUACCGGAUACGACCCUCGGCGGCAUCGCCAGGGGGUGGAAAGAAUUUCGGUCAAGGAUGGACUCGCGGCCUAUCAGCUAGUUGGUGAGGUAACGGCUCACCAAGGCGACGACGGGUAGCCGGGCUGAGAGGGUGACCGGCCACACUGGGACUGAGACACGGCCCAGACUACUGCGGGAGGCAGCAGUGGGGAAUAUUGCACAAUGGGCGCAAGCCUGAUGCAGCGACGCCGCGUGAGGGAUGACGGCCUUCGGGUUGUAAACCUCUUUCAGCACCGACGAAGCGCAAGUGACGGUAGGUGCAGAAGAAGGACCGGCCAACUACGUGCCAGCCGCCGCAGUAA
rnacentral:rRNA from 1 species